UCCUUUCUGUAGCAUGCAGAACAGGUACAGGUUCUGUGGUCCUGUGCUAUGAAGCCUACUUACUGAUAGCUGGAAAUGUUGACUGCACUAUCUUUAUAAACUCAGGUCAAAACCACCUUUCAGAUUAAGCAAUAAUUUUACCAAGAUUAAAGGGAAGGGAGAGAACACAUGGCCAGUUAGUCACCAGAGGUACACACGUAUUCAUAGAGUAAAUCCCCAACCUGCUAUAGUAAUGCACUUAGUUACUGGAAAUGCAUGUGAGAUUAUUUUCAUGAGCAAGGAUGAAAGAACUUGUUUAACCUUUGUACAGCAUUUUCCACCCACACAGAAAAGUGACAUCAGAUGCUUUGUAGAGAUGAAAAACAAGUCAGUAUUUGGGAGUCCUCUGAACAAGAGACAGAGAUACCCCAUCACCCACGUUAAUGACUCCGAUGCAAACAACGAACCAACCCUUCAGCUCUGUGUGUGAAGCACUGGACAGGAAGCACUUGCUAGAAGGUUUGGGUGUAGUUCCUGCAUGUCCCAGCAUACAAGAAGAAAGGAUUUUGUUUUAAUUGACAUUUUUGACUGAUGU